rnacentral:rRNA from 1 species
UACGUAGGUGGCAAGCGUUGUCCGGAAUUAUUGGGCGUAAAGCGCGCGCAGGCGGUCUCUUAAGUCUGAUGUGAAAUCUCGCGGCUCAACCGUGAGCGGUCAUUGGAAACUGGGAGACUUGAGUGCAGAAGAGAAGAGCGGAAUUCCACGUGUAGCGGUGAAAUGCGUAGAGAUGUGGAGGAACACCAGUGGCGAAGGCGGCUCUUUGGUCUGUAACUGACGCUGAGACGCGAAAGCGUGGGGAGCGAACAGG